UCCCAAGACUUCAGAAAAAACCCUCACCUUCGCAAGAACCGGCGAUGCAAACCCUCACCGCCGUCCUCUACCGGCGACAAGAUUGAACCCUCCGCAACCUUUAAUCAACUCACCACCAGCGCCGUCCUCUCUCUCACUCGCAGUCGUCCUCUCUCUCACGAACCCUAACUCCAAAUCGAAGCUUAACUCCAAAUCGAAGCUUCUCUUUCUUUCUCCGGCCUCUACUCUCACGAAUCGAAGCUUGUCGUUCUCUCUCACCCUAGAUUCGCGAUCGAAGAGAUGUCUCUCUAACACUUGUUCUCUCUCGAACCCUAGCCUCCAAUCCCUUUCAUUGAAUCACAAAUUCUAAUCCCUAAUUGAAGAACCAAGGCUUACUGAACCCAAAUCGAAGCUCAGUGAAACGAAUCAAAGCUCUCUCAGCUCGUUACAGAGUCAUAAACUGUUCCGGGAGAAGACAAUGGAUGAUCAAGAACCUACUGAUUUGCUGGUUCAUACAGUCGUGGCCUCUGUUGUGCCAGAAUUGCUUAGCAAGAAGACUACUUUGAAAAGGGUGACUUGAUUUCAUCUCAAUUUUUAUGUAUUUGAAACAUAAUUUAUCUUUGUGUUUGAUGGUUAACACUUAACAAGGUUCCUCUUUAUGGUUGAUUUUUAUGCCUUUAUUAUGAUUAUUAGAAUUUAAUUUGUUGUUCUGAAUUCUGAACAAUGGCCAUGAUCCUUAGCUUAGCUAUUAAGUAGAAGGUUUAGGAUAAAUUGGAAACUCACUCAUCUUUCUUCCAUGGCCGAACCACACACUCCACCAUCACUAUACACUCACUCAAAAUUCAUCUCUCCACCAUUUUCAUCCUUUCGAAGCUUGUUUGAAAGCUAGGAGUUGUGAUGAGCUUCCUCUUCUAAGGUGUUCGAUAAUCCCACGACAUUAACAGAGGAGGAGCUGUAUGAAUUGUGAAACCGCUGGGCAACUUGUUUUCUUGACCUAUAUAUAUAAUCCUGAGGUAGAUUAUGAUGUUGCCGAUGAGGCUUAGGAGCUAGCUAGGUUAAUUUGUAUGAUGUUACGAUGGAUUCAUAUUAAUUAUGAUGUUUUGAAUUGUAAUGACAUUUGGUAUUUUGCUUGAAUGUUGAAUUGU